AGCACUCUAGGAUCCUCUGGUCAUUUUCAUCAGACCUUCCCUGCACCUUCCAACAAAUUUCUCCUCUGAAACAGCAGAUUCUGAUUCAUCCUCACGCCUGCCACAGCAGCUCGAGAGAAGCUGAUAGCAGAGCAGCAAGAAAUUCAGCAGCCAGCGCCUCCCUCCGAAGCCAGCUGGAGAACAAGGCGCGUCCCUGCACGCCCAACUCCUCCUGGAAGGAAGCAUCCUCCACUCACUCCAAUUACGUGAGUCACCCUCGCCACAACCUCCGCAGGAACAACUCUACUGGAUUCUGGACUUCAGAUGCUUUCUCUGGUUGGCACCGCUUUGUUACGGUUUGUAUCUCGAAGACCCCAAUGCCUCCUGUCAUCAUCUGGCAAGUGAGUGGAUUAUAGGGCUUCCAGCUGAGCUGCGGUGGCCCACACCAGUGGCUUCCACCUCCUUUCCUAGACCUUCCCUGGCUUCGAUGCCAUGCACACAAAGGCACCCUCCUCCGCCACACCCCACUGCCAGGCCAUCCUGUCUUGGAGUCAGCGGACUACGGACUGAAGCAAGAGCCAAAAUAAACCUUAAAUGGCUCACAACCGCAAAAGUGAAAGGCUUUCCUUUGGGGAAAAUAGUCCCCCAGGCAUCAUCCUGGAGAAAGGGUACUUAAGAGAAUUCAUUCCCGGGGUUCAGUUCUCAGCAAUGCGCACUGCAGGCACUUAGAGACUUCCACUGCCACGCCACAAGGAAGGCCAGCUGCUGCUCAAGACCUUGGCAGCAGACCUUAGCAUUGCUGAUGCUGGUUUUAUACGCAGAAGAGUACUUGAUUUGUGAGACCCGGGAAACUUCCGCCUAGAUUUCAGAAGAAAGCCUGGAAGCACACAGUGUGACAGGGAGAAGACAGCGCAUGAAGCCGUGAGAGCGGAACUAAAAGCACAGUGGAGACCCAGGAUGCUGGAGAUGGUAGGAACACGGGUCUGAGAAGAGCCACAGGCAGUGAGCAAAGCCAGCCCAAGCAGCGGCCUGUGAGGGCUGCAGACACCAGGAAUGUCACAGGGUAGGGCCACCCAAGCUCUCUGGCAAUCACAGCUUACCACACCUUGUACUUGGUGCUAGACAUGGAAUUUAACGUUCACCCUGUUGGGUUUCCUCGUCCUUUGGUCCAAUUUCUUUCUAUACAGUUCCUCCCUUCUGGAAUGGGCAUGUUCACCACAUGCCAUCGUCUGCUGGAAGUGUUGGAUUUUCUUUUCUAUUUUCACAGAUGCUCAGGGCUCAGGGAAGAUUUUGAACUUGGAUUUUUCAAUAAUGCUGGAAUUGUUAGAACACUGACAACUCCUAGUGAUAAGACUGAAUGCAUUUUGCAGAGAAAUAUGCAGAGGCUAGGGGCAGAAUGUUAUGGUUUAUAACCACAUAUCCCCCUAAAGCCUCAUGUGAGCACAGGCAGCACCUUUGGAAGGGACUGAAUCGUGGGAGCUGAUCACUGGCUUGCUGUUAGUGAGGCGGUGGGGUCUGGUUAGAAGACGUGGGUCGAGAUGGGCUUUAUGGGGAAGGCUGUAUUUCCCUCCCCAGCCCUCCUCUGAUUUACUCCCUGCUUCCUGGACACCAUGUCAGGAGCAGCCCCAGCCCUCCUCCACCAUGCUGCUCUGCCAGGUGCGUAGAAACCUCUACAAACAAGCGGAAAUAAAUGUUUCCUCCCUUAAACCUCAGGUAUCCAGAAGGACAUCCUCAUCCCAGUGAUAAGGAAAGUGACUGAGAUACCUCCCUUGCCCCUACACAGCAACCUGCUCAAACCACCAAAGGCUGAGCUGCACAGACUCAGGUUUCUUAUCUGAUCAGCUUCCCCCACCAUCAUCUGGCGGUUUGUACUGCAGAAUGAAAAGCGCUAUGAGCAAAAUUGCUUUGUGAACUACGAUAGAGUUUUACUGAUGUAAAAUAUUAUUAUUAUUAUUAACCUAAUAUGCAAGAUUUUAAUUUCCCCAAUUAUUCUCCACAAGAAAAACAUGACUAGUGCUUAGCCUUUGCCCAAUGUUUAAAUAUUAUGCCAUUUUAACAACAUGGUUCCCAUAAAGUAAUGCUUAUAGAAAAAAAGAACGGAGUGCUAACUUUUUAUUUUUCAUUAUUUUGGAUCAGUAUCUUUGUGAAUUUUGAUUUCAAACCUAAGGCUCAUUUCUAAAGUGGUAUUUUGAGGACCUACUUUCACAGUUUUGCUUAGUACUUUAUUUUCUCUCCUGCUUAGUAAACAUUAAUCUAUUCGCUUUCACAAUGACCACAUGACCAUAAUUUAAUAGUUCUCUGUAACAAGAAAAAUGAGGCUCAAAAUGAUUCUCCACCUUGCCCAAGGUACUUGAUGGUUUAAAAUGGAAGAUGCAGAAGUGGACGUCAACUGUGAUUCUUUGCUAGUUCUUCCGCUGAGGAAUGGAACUGUUUUAUUUCCAAACACAUUUUUAUUUGGUUUUCAUUUAUAAGUUUAUGAUAACAUCAAAUAUCAACCAUAGCUCCCCCAAGUAAUAACAGAGUGAUGACAUUCCAUAUACCUAGGAUUCCAACGUUUAUUAAAUUCAAAGGUGCCUUUUUACAAAAUUAAGCAUACUUCACAUUCAGCUUUGUUUAAUCUAAAAAGAAAUUGUAAGUAGAAACACUUGUUUAUAUUUUUUGUUGAAAAAAACAACUCAAAGCUGGUUUCCAUUUUUUAGAUGAGGCUACACCUGGAGCUCCCUAAUCGACUAGUAACAAAGUUGCUGAUGAAUAUUUUAAAAUAUUAUAAUCUGAGAGAUCACAGUUCAGUGAUCCUAAAUGACUGGCCUAAUAUCAACCACAUGCUUACACCCAAAGCAGCAAAUAUCAGUAACAUUCAGUAUUACUGCACUUUCCCUGGUAAAAACACUUGCAAGUACAUAAAAACAUGAAUAAGAAAUGAGAUACUGCACACCUAUCACUUCAGCACUCCUUGAGGCUGAUCCAAGAGGAUGACAAAUUCGAGCCCAACCUGGACAAUUUAUGAAUUUAGCAAGGCCCCAUCUCAAUAUUUAAAAAAAAAAAAAAAAAAAAAGUGUGAGGGUUAGAGCUAUAGGUCAGCACAAAGGGUCAGGGUUGGCCCCCAAUAGCCCCAUUC